GUUGCUUCACGACUGAAAGAAUGGCCUGAUUUUUUUCAUUGUUUGGUCAUUCUGUAGAGAAGCAUAGAUUGAACAAUCAGUCAGAAUUAAACAGCAUGAUGCCAUAUUUCACUGCAUCUGUGUUAUCUGUCUCCUGGCACGUUC